rnacentral:lncRNA from 1 species
GGAUUAUGUAUUCACUCUAAAAUAUUGCUUUCAAGAAUAUAAAUGAGGUGAAAUAAACCAAUUCAAGGAAUUAAGGAACACUAAUAUUAAUUUAAUCCAGAGAGUUAAGAUAUCCCAAAUAGUAUUUUAUCAAUCAUGUUUCUUUAAGGCAGUAGGCAAUUGAAAUUAUUGCAGGUAUUGUUUUUGUAAGAUUUUCCUAUGACUUUAUAUUUGAAAAAGAAAAAAAAACUUCCCAAGCUACAUUCUUUAAUUAAUAAUUAUCGACACUAAUUAUUAUAUAUUAAAGUGAAAAUAAUACUUUCUUUUUGAAUCAAGAUGUUGAAUAAAGGGUAGCUUUUGAUUUUUAUCAUAUUGAGGAAUUUCCAAAGUUUUUAAAAAUCAGAAACAAACUUAUCAAUAACUUCACAGCCAUUUAUCUUAUCUAGAACUCCAGAAAGUCCAUCAUAAUGAAAUGUACACUGAACCAAAGCAUACCGUGUGUCACCUUGAUGCUCACAUUCUUUGAAUCCAGAAUUAUCUACCUGUGAGGUUAGGUUAAGGAAAAUAUUACAUUUAAACUUGGAGAAGAAAGUGAUUUCUAAAAGGAUGCAUGAGUACCUCAUAUGGGAAAAGCAAGUGAGACAAGUGAACAUUAUUUUCAACAUUCAUGGACACAUACAUUGAAAAAAAUUUACUGUGCAACUGCUUUAUGCUACGAGUUCUAGAUAGGAAGAUGAAUACAGUAUCAGCUUCCAGAAUCUAAAUGAAAAUAUAAUUGCUGAAUAUUUACUCUUAUGGGAAAAAAGACGUAGAUUUUAUUUACAUAAAAACUAUUCUAAUUAAAUGGUAUAUCAAGAUAUUUUUUAUUAAAUUAAAAAAAUUGAUUUACAGGGUUUAAAGUCUUCUGGGUCAUUGCAGUUAUUUACCUUUUGUUCCUAUGUCCAUAUGGCUAACCUUCGCUUUUCCUAAGUGUUUGUUCAAAUGGUACCUACUUAAUGAGACCCAUCCUGAUGACUCCACUUAAGAGCAUAACCAGCCCCACACCCACCCUUCAACAUAAUUUAUUCUCCCUUACCUUGAUAUAGUUUUAUUUUUUUCAUGAUAUUUGUCAUGACAUAAAAUGCUAUUCAAUUUACUUACAUUUGCAUAUAUUCUCUCUCCUCCAUAAGGAUAUAAGGUUGCAGCUCUUUAAAAUUUUAUUCAGUUGUUACUAUUGUUUCACCAGUAUAUCCAGGCCACUUGGAAUAGCAAUCCUUAAAAAUUUAUUAUGUAGAUUUUUUUUUGAAUGAACAAUAAGAAUGACAAAAGCAAUACUCAAAAGUUAGAAUUGUUUGGAGUUCAUUACAUGUAAUCUCAUGGCAAUGCAAUAAUUCAAAUAUGGUUUGUUACCUUGGUAGGGCAAUAGAUUUAACUUUGAAGUUUUAUGAAUAGCACAUAUUUCCAGUAUGUACAAUGUAGUGGAGGUAGACAACUGACACCACCUUUCAAAAAAUACACAUGCAUAGAUGCUGCUUUACUGUAUGAUGAGUGAAGAGCAAUUACUGUGGAAAAUAUAUGGAGAGAAACAAGGACCAUAUUUUAGAGGUUCUUGUAUGCACAAGCUAAGAAAGAGAAAAAAAUAGUUGUUCCAUAGGUUUUCUGUAAUAUUUUUCUCAGUUUAUUUUUGUGAGUAUAUUACAGUCUUCAUUUAAAAAUCAAAUUUCUAUUUAUCAUUUAAUCAUUUGCUUUCUUAAUAUAACUGUAUUACCUGAAAAACAUAUAACCAAACAUCAUAGAUAUUUGGUGCUUGCCAUUAUAAUUAAAGAUUAAUUAUGUAUAAAUCAGGCUCUCAUGUAAAAAUGUGUGUUCCAAAGUUUUGGCUGCAUUUUCCAAUCAAACAAGGUCAGAUAUUAUACCAAACCCUCUAAUAAAGUGUUUAGCCAUUUAAGAUGUUGCAAGAGUAGAAAUGCAGGUGAUGUACUAUCCAUUUUUCAUAUUUUGUCAAAAGCAACUCAAUGUUCAUAUAUGUGGAAUACUCUUACUCCACAGUUCUAUAUAUGGAUCAUAUCUAUAUUGGAGGAAUAGCAUUUAUGUUAUCUAAUAUUGUUUUUUUCCAAUAAAGUAGCCAUACUUGUAAAAUACUUAGAUUGGGACCUGGCAUGUCAUUAAUGUACAACAUGUUACUUAAAAAGAAGAAUACUUUCUACCAUAUCUUAAACAAAUUUUGGAAAAGACCGUGAGAAAAAGAGUUAAAGAAAUCAAUGUAUAAGAACCAAGCAAGUAUUGGGCUUUUUAUUUCAGUCUGUCAAAGAGUUAUUUUUAAAGAUUAUACUUCAUUAUAUGUUAUUACAAGGUAAUGGCUAUGAUUCCCCAUGCUACUAAUAUAAUAUUGUAAAUCAACUAUACAUAAAUAAAAACAAGAGCAUAAUAGAAGAGAUAAAUGAAAAUAAAAUUAAAAAGUUAUAUUAGUAGUUUUGCUUUCAUAUUGCUUAAUGGCAAAAUUCAAAUUAGUAUCUCUAAAUGUGACAGGCAGCCUUUCUUGUGAGUGAGAGAGAUGUAUCUUGAAAAGCAAGCCAUUUACUACCCCUCUUGUAAACAGGCUGUGGGUCAGUCAGCUGGAUGGGGAAACUCUGAGUGUGGUAAAUUAGAGUAUAACACAGAGUGUUAAUAAUAUAAUGUGAAUGAGCUCACUUCCUCAGAGGGAUGUCCAGCCUGUGAAAUAAAUGGUCGUCUUUCAUGAGCAGCCUCUCUCCUAAGCUGUCUAAACCAGUGACAGUUGAAUGAAUGAGAUCACCAUUUUAAAAAAAAUUUUCGCAUGUGCCCAAACAUAAUUGUCACUAAGAAUAUUUUAAAGUAAAAGUAAUUUACCAAAUAUUCUAAUCUCUUAGGAUAUGUUAUUGGUUGAACUGUGUGCCCUCAAAUUGAUAAAUUGAAGUCCUAAUCUCUGAUGCCUCAGAAUGUAACUAUGUUUGGAGAUAGGUCGCUAAAGAGGUAACUAAGUUAGAAGGGGGUCAUUAGGCAAUAUGACUGAUUUCCCUAGAAGAAGAAGAAAUUUGGGCAUAGGAAAACACAGAGUAAAAACAUGUAAAAACACAGGGAGAAGCUGCCACUUAUGAGCCAAAGCGAGGAGCCUCUGAAGAAACCAACCGAGCGAACGCCUUGACCUAGAAUUUAUAUCCUCCAGAACUGUGAGAAAACAUAAAUUUCUGUUGCUUUAAGCCAUCCAGUCUCUAGUAUUUUGUUAUAGCAGUCCUAGACAACUAAUUCAGGAAACUUUUCUUGAACUGGUUUAUUUUAUAUUACCUGUCAUAGCAUUUCAAAUUCUAUGUGAUGAAAUUCAAGUGAGGGAGGCUAAUCAUUUUUUAUGCCUCAAAGGCAUGUCUUGUGGUAUUAGACAUGUAGUUUAUUUGUCUGCUUUUCUGAAAAUAAACAUGGGUAUUCUUUGAUACUAGGUGUUUAAUCAAAUUUUAUCCAGUGCUGGAAAUUCAUUUGCUUCAGGUAGUCUGAGGAAUCAAUACAGUAUCCGAGUUGGAAUUUCACUAAAUUCUAAUAAAUAACCUUAUCAUAAAAAUGGUCAAUGUCAAAUUUAUUUAUCCAAGGCAGGUACUGUGGUAAUUAAAUAAAAUGACAGUGAAAAUAACAUUUUAAAGAUCAUUGCUAUCUGUAGUGUUGCUAGCUGGCUCUUUUUUUAUUCACUAAAAGAAAUAAACUAGUUGUGACAAUAGGAAAUUAGCUUAUAUAUCUAAGCACUGACCUCUGGACAACUAUAUCAAAAUAAAACAGUCCCUAAGGUGAGGUAGAAUUCUUAGGAGAGGUGGAUGAGUAAACAAAGGCAUCUGCUUAUAAUGAAAAGAUAGAAAAGAGUAGAAUAGAUAACAGAGAAACAGAAAAGAAAAAUUGGGGGUCAGAAUACUGUUAUUCAUAGAGUGUAAAUGACACUUUGAACCCAAAUCUAAUUACCUGGCUUCCCUGUGAGAAAAAUCAUCUAACAUCUGAGAAACAGAAAUAGUUCCUAAGAGGUGCUACUAAUAUCACAUCCAUUAUCAUCCAAAGCUACCUCAGUAGUUAAUGCCUCAUGAUAAUGAGCAUUCUUGGUCCCUUUUUGUCUUGGGACUAAGAAUAAUAAAAUAGAGGUAAAGCUUAUAUUUAUUAAUCCUAUAUUUAUCCAUUGAGUCUGCAUAUUAAAACAUGCAUAAUAAGUGUGGUCACUGCUUGAGGAUGGAUUAGAAAAUACUGGAGUGGGUUCUCUCCUUUGCCCUCAGUACUUCUAGAUAAUUCAGGGGCCAAGUGGAACAGUAUCCAUUAUAGAUGACACGGUUUUAUAAACAGGCAUUUCAAAUGCCACAGACAUUUGAAUUAACAUUUUCUUCCAUUCCAUAAUUACUUAAUUACUAUCAAUUAAGAGUGUGGCAUGAGCAUAUGGUGGCUUCCCAUCUGCUCAUUUCUUCCUCUCAAUUUGUUAUUACCAUUAAUUUAGUUGAUGGUGACAGUGUUUAACCAAAUCAAACGAAUUAAUAACAGUUCACUAGAUCAAGGCCUUUCUCUUUGCAUCUCAUGCUCAUUCAUCAGUAGCUGCCUUCUAUAAUAUUGUCAGAUUGGAGUAGAAUAAAAUACUUUGGAGACAAACUUUUUAAUGAAAACAUUUUGAACAUUCCUAAAUUUAGGUCACUCCUAAUUCCUGCAUAAGAUUACUAAAGUAAUAUUUAUUUCUAGUCUGCUAAACAUUCCAAAUAGUCUUUCCCUUGAGGUUUUUCAGAUUUUAUUUUAUGGAAAUAAAAAAAUAUAAGUUCCUAGAGUUCCCAUUUUGUUUCAGUGAUAACAAACCUGACUAAUAUCCAUGAGGAUACGGGUUCGAUCCUUGCGCAGUGGGUUAAGGAUCUGGUGAUGCCACAAGCUGUGGUAUAGUUUGCAGACGUGGUUGGGAGCUGGCGUUACUAUGGUUGUGGUGUAGGCUGGCAGCUGCAGCUCUGAUUCGACCCCUAGCCUGGGAACUUCCAUAUGCCCUGGGUGUAGCAGUCCCCCUACUCCCCCCCAAAAAGGCACAUAUAUAUAUAUUCCUCUGUGUAAUAUGUAUAUAUGUGUGUAUACAUACAUACAUACAUACACACACACACACACACAUAUAUUUUUUGGUCUUCAAAAACACAUAUAUGUCCCUUGGGGUGCAGUACAGAAUUGGGAAGAAACAUCAGCCUUGAGUACUGUCUCCCCACUAGUGAAAAUUAUUGCUGGAUUUUUAUCUGAUAAUGUACUACCUUCCAUUCUGGUGAAGACAAGCUAUUGCAUUACUUGCUAUGCAUCCAUUAUCAGAUUCAGUGUCAAGAGAGGUAGGUGGGUGCACCUACUGGAAAAAAUACAUUUUAAAAUAUUUUAGAAAGGCUCAAUAAAAGUAAUCAUGAAAAGUAAAAUGCUAACACUAGUUCUGUCUAUACACAAAAUCACUAUUAAGAACAAAACCUUGAAAUCAGAAAACUAAACUCUAAUGGGGUGUAUGGAUUACUGAAUCAAGCAGCUCCAAGCAUGUCUCUUGAGUUUUCUCUUUUCUCAAGGCUCUCAUGCCAAACAUUACUGCCAAACUCUUACCACAGACAAGACUUUCAGAACUCUAGCUUUGUCAUAAACAACACACUUCCCAUGGAACUCAUUUACACAGCUAAAGUUUUACCUAGUUUUAUAAAGGAGGAAAAAUAGCAAAAAAAAAAAA